rnacentral:rRNA from 1 species
CGUCUAGGCGGAUCGGUCAGUCGGCUGUGAAAGCCCCCGGCUCACCCGGGGAAGUGCAUCCGAUACUGUCGGUCUUGAGGACGAGAGGGGAGAGUGGAACUCCUGGUGGAGCGGUGAAAUGCGUAGAUAUCAGGAGGAACGCCGGUGGCGAAAGCGACUCUCUGGCUCGUUCCUGACGCUGAAGCGCGAAAGCCAGGGGAGCGAACG